AUUGAACGCUGGCGGAAUGCUUUACACAUGCAAGUCGAACGGUAGAGGGGCAACCCUUGAGAGUGGCGAACGGGUGAGUAAUGUAUCGGAACAUGCCCAGUCGUGGGGGAUAACGUAACGAAAGUUACGCUAAUACCGCAUCCGAUCUACGGAUGAAAGCGGUGGACUCGCAAGAGCCACGCGCGAUUGGGGAGGCCGAUGUGAGAUUAGGUAGUUGGUAGGGUAAAAUACUACCAAGCCGACGAUAUGUAGCUGGUCUGAGAGGACGACCAGCCACACUGGGACUGAGACACGGCCCAGACUCCUACGGGAGGCAGCAGUGGGGAAUUUUGGACAAUGGGCGCAAGCCUGAUCCAGCCAUUCCGCGUGCAGGAAGAAGGCCUUCGGGUUGUAAACUGCUGUUGUACGGAACGAAACGCGCUAGGUUAAUACCCUGGCGUAAUGACGGUACCGUAAGAAUAAGCACCGGCUAACUACGUGCCAGCAGCCGCGGUAACAC
rnacentral:rRNA from 1 species